AGAUGUGAGGGUGAUCUGGCCACGACAUCUGUCACCCCAGUGACCACCAGGGUUGAUUCGGCGGAGCUGGCCGGCCAGGUGAGUGUCCCCUUCCUCCCUCACCUCUCCAUGUGCGUCCCUCCCAAAGCUGUGUGCUUGGUCCAAGAGGACAGUUUCUGAGGUCAAGCCUGUAUAAGUAGCUGUGCUCCCCUCCAGACAAGCUCUCGAGGUCCUGGGCCUCAAGCCAUGGGAAGAGAGUCAGACAUGUGGGCUGGCAGAGCUGGGGGACCUGGGAUGUGGUUUUAGCUC
ensembl:misc_RNA 7SK 7SK RNA